AUUUAAGUCCGUAUGUCUCAUUCUCUUCAACUGUAAAGCAAGAAAACACGUAGUGCUUACCUCAUGAAUUAUCAUAAGAAUUAAGUGAGUUAAUGUAUUAAAACCCUUAGGAGGGUUUGCACAUAUUAGGAACUUUUAUUACCAUUAGUAGUAAUAGUAGACAAAAUAAAUGUCGUGAUGAAAAUUUUAAAAUCUUUUUUACUAAGCCAUAUAAUUGAGGAGGACAAGAAUUACACAUUACCUGUUUGUGCAUGUCCCACAAGGCAUAAGACAUGGUAAUUUUCACAGUGAUAGUAAUAAUAUAGUAGAAAUAUAUAGCCAUAGUGUAAUGCACUAGUAUAAUACUAAUAGCAGUGCUAUUAUUCCUAGAGAAAGGAAGCAUCCUAAUGGUAACUGAGUUUAUUUUUUAUUGUACAGUUUGGUGUUUUUUCCAUUGAGGCAGUGGCUCUUGGAGAAUUGGAGAAAAUUUGGAUUAGUCAUGAUGGGACAGGUCCAGUUUUCACAGGAAAUGGCUGGUUUCUUGAGCACGUUGUUCUUAAAUGUGAAGAGGAAGACUGCAACCAGGAGGCACUGUUCCCGUGCAACAGGUGUGCUGUCACCGGUCCCUCACUGCGCGCGGUGAUGCGCCCUUUGUCCAGGACUUCCAGCUGGACACCAGCCUGCCCCUCCAUCUGUCUGGCCACAUUGCACCCUCCUUUAAAACCUGAGUGGAAGGCUUGCACUCCCUAGGAAGCUGCUCCUUAUCAUGUUAGUAAUUCUCUUUUUCUUUGUAACACUUAGUAUUUUUCUCUUCUGGAAUAGGCAUGCUGCAAUGAAAGGAAGCUGAAUUAGGAUUUCAAAAGCAGGUCUUUGAAUCUCACACACUUGCUGUUUCCCACUAGUUCUGCAGACGUGGGUGCUGCUCUCAGCUUCUCUGAGGUUCAAUUUCCUCAUAUGUAAAGUGGGGAUGAUACUUGUUCCUCCUGGUUCAUUGAAUCAUAAAAUCAAAUAAAGGAAUAUAUAGGAACUGUGAACUCUAAGGC
rnacentral:lncRNA from 1 species